CGAGUGGCGAACGGGUGAGUAAUACAUCGGAACGUGCCCUGUAGUGGGGGAUAACUAGUCGAAAGAUUAGCUAAUACCGCAUACGACCUGAGGGUGAAAGUGGGGGACCGCAAGGCCUCAUGCUAUAGGAGCGGCCGAUGUCUGAUUAGCUAGUUGGUGGGGUAAAGGCCCACCAAGGCGACGAUCAGUAGCUGGUCUGAGAGGACGAUCAGCCACACUGGGACUGAGACACGGCCCAGACUCCUACGGGAGGCAGCAGUGGGGAAUUUUGGACAAUGGGCGAAAGCCUGAUCCAGCAAUGCCGCGUGUGUGAAGAAGGCCUUCGGGUUGUAAAGCACUUUUGUCCGGAAAGAAAUGGCUCUGGUUAAUACCUGGGGUCGAUGACGGUACCGGAAGAAUAAGGACCGGCUAACUACGUGCCAGCAGCCGCGGUAAUACGUAGGGUCCAAGCGUUAAUCGGAAUUACUGGGCGUAAAGCGUGCGCAGGCGGUUGUGCAAGACCGAUGUGAAAUCCCCGAGCUUAACUUGGGAAUUGCAUUGGUGACUGCACGGCUAGAGUGUGUCAGAAGGGGGUAGAAUUCCACGUGUAGCAGUGAAAUGCGUAGAGAUGUGGAGGAAUACCGAUGGCGAAGGCAGCCCCCUGGGAUAACACUGACGCUCAUGCACGAAAGCGUGGGGAGCAAACAGGAUUAGAUACCCU
rnacentral:rRNA from 1 species